UACGUAGGGGGCUAGCGUUGUCCGGAAUCAUUGGGCGUAAAGCGCGUGUAGGCGGCCCGGUAAGUCCGCUGUGAAAGUCCAGGGCUCAACCCUGGGAUGCCGGUGGAUACUGUCGGGCUCGAGUCCGGAAGAGGCGAGUGGAAUUCCUGGUGUAGCGGUGAAAUGCGCAGAUAUCAGGAGGAACACCAAUUGCGAAGGCAGCUCGCUGGGACGUAACUGACGCUGAGACGCGAAAGCGUGGGGAGCAAACAGG
rnacentral:rRNA from 1 species